GAUGAACGCUGGCGGCGUGCCUAAUACAUGCAAGUCGAGCGAACGGACGAGAAGCUUGCUUCUCUGAUGUUAGCGGCGGACGGGUGAGUAACACGUGGAUAACCUACCUAUAAGACUGGGAUAACUUCGGGAAACCGGAGCUAAUACCGGAUAAUAUUUUGAACCGCAUGGUUCAAAAGUGAAAGACGGUCUUGCUGUCACUUAUAGAUGGAUCCGCGCUGCAUUAGCUAGUUGGUAAGGUAACGGCUUACCAAGGCAACGAUGCAUAGCCGACCUGAGAGGGUGAUCGGCCACACUGGAACUGAGACACGGUCCAGACUCCUACGGGAGGCAGCAGUAGGGAAUCUUCCGCAAUGGGCGAAAGCCUGACGGAGCAACGCCGCGUGAGUGAUGAAGGUCUUCGGAUCGCAAAACUCUGUUAGUAGGGAAGAACAUAUGUGUAAGUAACUGUGCACAUCUUGACGGUACCUAAUCAGAAAGCCACGGCUAACUACGUG
rnacentral:rRNA from 1 species